rnacentral:rRNA from 1 species
UACGAGGGGGGCAAGCGUUGUUCGGAAUUAUUGGGCGUAAAGAGCUCGUAGGUGGCCUGUCGCGUCGGCUGUGAAAACUCGGGGCUCAACUCCGAGCUUGCAGUCGAUACGGGCAGGCUAGAGUUCGGCAGGGGAGACUGGAAUUCCUGGUGUAGCGGUGAAAUGCGCAGAUAUCGGGAAGAACACCCGUGGCGAAGGCGGCACUCUGGGACGGUACUGACGCUGAGACGCGAAAGCGUGGGGAGCGAACAGG